UGAAGAAAUUUGUACUCUUUCGAUUCAGUCAAGUGCGGCGGCUUCGUAGUCAUUGCAAACGUGAUAAGACUUUAUGGAGAUAAGUCGUCCAAGUCAUUUUCAUCUGCUAUAAAUAGAUGCAUAGGAUAACACUCUCUUUGCUCAAAUUAAAGAAAACCAUUUAACUCAGGAGAUAAACAAGUAUGGCUGUUCACAGAGUUAAUUUCCUUGCUUUCCUCCUCUUAUUUGGUAUGUCUCUGCUUGUAAAUAAUGUGGAACAUGCAGAUGCCAAGGCUUGUCCCUUUAACUGUGAUCCAAGAAUUGCCUAGGGAGUUUGCCCGCGUUCAGAAGAAAAGAAAACAAUAACCAAAUAUGCACCAACUGUUGCGCAGGCACGAAAGGUUGCAACUAUUUCAGUGCUAAUGGAACUUUUAUUUGUGAAGGAGAAUAUGAUCCUAGAAAUCCAAAAGCUUGUCCGCGAAAUUGUGAUCCAAGAAUUGACUAUCGAGUUUGCCCGCGUUCAGAAGAAAAUAAUAACCAAAAAUGCACCAACUGUUGCGCAGGCACGAAAGGUUGCAACUAUUUCAGUGCUAAUGGAACUUUUAUUUGUGAAGGAGAAUCUGAAUAUGUAAGAAAAGUGGAUGAAUGAUCUCCCGAAGUCUAUGGUUGUUGUUUCCUAAGUCCUAAGUGAUAAUAUGUAGUCUAUGUAUGAAACAAAGGCAUGACAAUAUGCUCUGUCUUGCCUGUAAUCUGUAAUAUGGUAGUGGAGCUUUUCCACUUCUUGUGCUAGUUUUCAUAAUGUUUAAUAACAAAUGGAGCACUAGUUUGUUCUAGUUAGUGA